AGAAGUGGGAGGAGGAGGCAGGGAAAGCGGGGGCUGCGGGAGGUAGUUGCGGCGCAGGUUCCCGGGAGCAGCCGUCGAGCCGCAACUGCGGAGGAGGAGUUCGGGAAAGCGGCAGUCGGGACCCCUCCCCUCAGUCGUCUCCGCCCCGGUUGAGAGGCGCCUCGGCGCAUCGGAGGGACCCUCCCCCGCGCUUCCUCAGGCUGCUGUCGCCGCUGCUGGGAGAUGGGCCUACUCGCCCGCCGCUCUGCGCUGCACCCUCUCUGAGGAGUUAAAGAUGAAAGUUGAAGGAAUUCAUUGCUAGGAGACCUGCAUAACAAAAAAUGCUAAUGGAAGUUCUUGAGGCUGAAGAUACAUGACACCAGGUGAAAAGUGGAUCCACAAGAACAGGGCUCCCCAACCCUUGGGCCACGGUGUGUGGCCUGUUAGGAACUGGGCCACGCAGCAGGAGGCAAGCAGCCAUGAGCAUUAUUGUCUGAGCUCUGCUUCCUGUCAGAUCAGUGGCAGCAUUCAUUUCUCAUAGGAGUAUUGUGAACUGCACUCGAGGGAUCUAGGUCACACACUCCUUAUGAAAAUAUAAUGCCUGAUGAAACCAUCCCCGCUCCCACUCCCCACCUCCAUCUGUGGAAAAAUUGUCUUCUGUGAAAUUGGUCCUGGUGCCAAAAAGUCUGGGCACCGUUGCACAAGGAAGAAUGAAAAAUACCAGAAAGUAAAUAUGUAACAAUUAGGUUUCAUCCUCCAAAAGAAGACUUUGUAAGCCUAUAGAGCAAUGGAAAAAUUUAUAAAAGACCAUGUUAGAUGUUACUAAAUUAAAAACUUAGAUAACUGUACUUCAAAACAUCACAAAAUUGAAGGACAACUGUUUAGAGAAAGUAAAUAUUGUUUAAAAUCAAAGAGGAGCAUUAAUAUUCCAGUGUAAAAAUGGGCAUAAAAUGUUAACAAAUAAAACAUAGAAGUAGGGAAGAGGACAGUGCAUGUGAACAAAUGUUUAAA